GCAUUCGUGGUGUAGCGGUAACAUUGGGUCUUCCCAUGAAAGGUGGCCUAGCUCCGGGUUCGACUCCCGGCGGAUGCA